UACGCGGCGGCGUCCGGGGUCUCCAGUAGGGCUGACGCUCCGGUGCUCGCACAAUCCCCCGCCUCGGCUGGCAACGGGCGUCCCUCCACUCCCCGAGUCCCCGGCAGCCGCCGCCACCCCAGCGCGCCCCGAUCUGGCCCCCUGCCCCGCGAAGAUGGCUGCCGUACGCCGGGCCCGCAGUUAUUGCCGCUGCCUGGUGCGCUUCUCCGACCGAGAACUCUGCUAAGCUCCGCUGCAGAGACAGGCAGGAGUAGACACCCGGACACCCAGCACCCCUCCUCCGGGGGGCGGUGCAGAGGGGGCACGGAGAGCCCCUCGAGCGCAGCAGGCCGCCCCGCCAGCAUGAUGUGUGCUUUACAGUGUGCCCAGCAUUUUACCAUAUACUAACUGGUUCAAGUCUGAAAGGCACCUCUGCUUUGAGUCUGCUUGCCAGAG
rnacentral:sRNA from 1 species